GCCCUCGUGGUGGAAUGGUAGACACAAGAGACUUAAAAUCUCUCGGCUGUAAGGCCGUGCCGGUUCGAGUCCGGCCGAGGGC
rnacentral:tRNA from 1 species